AUUGGGAAUCAUACUUAGGCAGCCUGUUUUGCCACCUUAGGUUGUGGGAUGUUGUUUUUUGUUAGCCCUGUGAAGCCUACGGAACAUGACGUUCGUUAUUCUUUUGUUGUUUUGUUUGGUGUUCUGAGUCAAUAAAGAAUCAUGAACACGUACAACGCUGCACCUUGGUCCACUUCUUCCGACGAGCGUUACAACAUGUUAAAAAGGUGGACUUUAUAUUACUUAAUACAAUGGUCAUAAACUGUAGAGCACAAGCAGAUAAGUUGUCUAAGAAUAUUGAAAGCAUUGUGAAUGCAGCUGAAGGUUUUUGGGGUCUUCGUGAUUUCCCAUCCGAGGCCGUGCAAGAAAUCCUGUCAGUGAAUGUUCCGCCAUCACAGGCCCCUGAGCUUGUGUAGGAAUAUAGUUUUGAGUGGACUGUGGUUGAAGAAGUGGAUAGGUUUUGUUAGUUGAAGUGUUUAAUUUUGUAUGAUUUUCCCCCCUCCCUGCAAUGUAUUUUUUGUUUCUUAUUCAAUACCCCGUCCGGUGGCGGUAAUGCACCAUUAACAUUGAAUGCCAACCGCUGUUAAACCCCAUCGAAGAAGAUUGGAAUUACUUUUCGACUGACACAUGGGCAAGGCGUUGUGGCUGACCAAAAACUGUUGCAACUAAUAUGACUGAAUAUCUUCGCCGGGUGACCAAAAGAACAAGAGAAACCAAACCCUUCGCUCUGACUCUCGGGGACAAUCACCUCUACUCCCUGGCAUUCACUAUCGUGACUGGGCAGGCUCUGGAACAGAAGACAUUAUGUUUUGGUGUUUUACAAGAAUUCAUAUGGAAAAUUGAUACCUGGUAGGGGUUGGGGGAGUAAAGGGUAAAGUGUUUACUUUUCUUCAGCCCCGUUCCUCAGCUUUAAUUGCUAGGGCUACUGUGAUUUUGAAAUGAUGGAUUGUGCUAACAUUUUUAUUUGUGUGUUCCUUAUUUGUUUAUCUUUUGCAUGACUUCAUUUUGGAGCUGAAAUUAAUAACUCAAAACACA